rnacentral:rRNA from 1 species
AUUGAACGCUGGCGGUAUGCAUAACACAUGCAAGUCGAACGGUAGCAGGUCUAGCUUGCUAGAUGCUGACGAGUGGCGGACGGGUGAGUAACGCGUAGGAAUCUGCCUUAUAGUGGGGGGAUAACCCUGGGGGAAACUCAGGGCUAAUACCGCAUAAGCCCGAGGGUGAAAGUGUGGGACCUGAAAAGGCCACAUGCUAUAAGAUGAGCCUGCGUAGGAUUAGCUAGUUGGUGGGGUAAAGGCUUACCAAGGCAAAGAUCCUUAACUGGUCUGAGAGGACGACCAGUCACACUGGGACUGAGACACGGCCCAGACUCCUACGGGAGGCAGCAGUGGGGAAUUUUGGACAAUGGGGGCAACCCUGAUCCAGCAAUGCCGCGUGAGUGAGGAAGGCCUUC